GACGAACGCUGGCGGCGUGCUUAACACAUGCAAGUCGAACGGUGAACCUCUUCGGUGGGUUUCAGUGGCGUACGGGCGAGUAACACGUUGGCAACCUGCCCCCCUCCCUGGGAUAAUUCCAAGACUUUGGGGCUACUACCCUAUGACCACAGCAUCCCGCAAGGCUGGUGGUGGAAAAGGUUUCCGGCUGGGGGCGGGCCCGUGGCCUAUGAGCUUGGUUGUAGUGUAGAGGUCUACCAAGGCGACGUCGGCUAGCCGGCCUGAGAAGGUGACCGGCCACCAUGGGACUGAGGCACGGCCCAGACGCCUACGGGAGGCAGCAGUGGGGAAUAUUGCGCAAUGGGCGGAAGCCUGACGCAGCGACGCCGCGUGGGGGAUGACGGCCUUCGGGUUGUAAACCUCUUUCAGCAGGGACGAAGCGCAAGUGACGGUACCUGCAGAAGAAGCACCGGCCAACUACGUG
rnacentral:rRNA from 1 species